UACGAAGGGGGCUAGCGUUGCUCGGAAUUACUGGGCGUAAAGGGCGCGUAGGCGGCUUGGUCAGUCAGGCGUGAAAUUCCUGGGCUUAACCUGGGGACUGCGCUUGAUACGGCUAGGCUUGAGGAUGGAAGAGGGUCGCGGAAUUCCCAGUGUAGAGGUGAAAUUCGUAGAUAUUGGGAAGAACACCGGUGGCGAAGGCGGCGACCUGGUCCAUUACUGACGCUGAGGCGCGACAGCGUGGGGAGCAAACAGG
rnacentral:rRNA from 1 species